UACAGGGGGUGCAAACGUUGCUCGGAAUCAUUGGGCGUAAAGCGCACGUAGGCGGUUCGUUAUGUCGGAUGUGAAAGCCCUUGGCUUAACCGAGGAAGUGCAUCCGAAACUGGCGAGCUAGAGUACGAAAGAGGAUCGCGGAAUUCCCGGUGUAGAGGUGAAAUUCGUAGAUAUCGGGAGGAAUACCGGUGGCGAAGGCGGCGAUCUGGGUCGAUACUGACGCUGAGGUGCGAAAGCGUGGGGAGCAAACAGG
rnacentral:rRNA from 1 species